CAUGUUCUCCCUGUUGGUUUCCUCCGGGUGCUUACCUCACAAGUCUAAAGACAUGCUCUAUAGAUGAGAUGGAUAAGCUAAAUUGUCCUUAGUGUUUGUGCGAAUACGUGUGUGCAACCCGCAUAAAACAUAUGCUGGUUAAGUUGGAGGUUCAUUGCGCUGUGGCGACCCCUGAUUAAUAAAAAGACAACCGAAAAUUAAAUGAAAUGUAAUAUUUUAAGAUUAGUCAGUGUUACAGCAGUUCAGACUUUUUAUUUUAAUAUAGAGCUAGGCUUCUUAAUGCCUCAAUAUGUACACAAUUGUCUGGCUAACUUUGGUAUUUUUUUAAAAAAUUGUCUAUUAUCAAUAAAAAUUAAACCUUUAAUUUAGAUUUUUGGGCAAGAAAUGUGGGCAAAUUACUGCAUAUUCAAUCAUUAAAUAAUGUCUUGUUUGGAUAUUUAAACAUAACACUGGAAAUGUAUAAUACAAAUAGCAUAUUUGUCGUUGCUACUGUAGGCAAACAACCGAGGGAAAUAUGCUGAUAAAUGUGAGUUAUUUUCCCCCCGUUCACCUGCAGUGUGCAGGCCACCGGUUUGUUUCAGACCAGCAGGUGUCGCUGUUUCCCGUGUAAUGACACUCCACCUCCGGCGAGCUCUGUGUGAAGCAGCGUCUCCCACCACACCGCUCAGAUGAAGUAGAGCUGGAGCUGCUGGGACGAGCUCGAGCCUGUGUUGUUUGGGAUGUCGAGGAUUAAAUAUGGCCACUAGCUAGCUGGUUUACCACAGCCAGCGAUCGCCUAGAAAGCAGUGGCAUCAGCCGUAAAAUAUGGACUUGAAGAGCGCGAGAGGGUCUCUUUAAAGCGGUUCUCAGUGAAGCUUGAUCGCAUCGGCUGGUCUGGGCUGGCUUCGGCCUCAAGAAGCCUCUAAAGAUGAAUAUGGUGAAGAGGAUCAUGGGAAGGCCACGGCAGGAGGAGUGCAGCCCACAGGACAACGCGCUGGGACUGAUGCACCUGCGCCGCCUCUUCUCUGAGCUCUGCCACCCGCCGCGCCACAUGACACAGAAAGAGCAGGAGGAGAAGCUUUAUAUGAUGCUGCCUGUUUUCAAUCGGGUGAGAGAGAGAGAGAGAGAGAGAGAGAGAGAGAGAGAGAGAGAGGUGGCUGCUUAUUCAAAGAGACAGCAUUGUCAGCUCAUUUGCAUCAGAAAAAUGUGAUUUAUUAGGAAAUAUAGUGAAAGUACAGUUUAAAAAUAAAGUAAAAAAUUAAAAUAAUCAAUGAUUCAAGCCUCUCUGGUAGGAAAAAAAACAUUCAAAAGGCAUUAAAUAUAAGACUGAGGUAUAAUAGCAAUGCAUUGGUUGCAGUUU